AUGUUUUCCCCAUCCCCACACAGCUGCUUCUCCAGUGAAAGGAGGGAAAAGCAAAGAGCGAAGAGAGGUUUGCGAAUAAAAAUGAGACAUUCUGCCUUAAAGAAGGCCGCGAUCGAAGUCGUUUCUCUGAAGCUCGCUCCCCAGGGGUUGCCCUCAGACACGAUCCAAGCAAAGGGCUCCGUAACGUCGGGAAUUCCGGGCUGGGAAUGCUCGGGGGCGAACUGGAAACGCAGACGGUGCUCAGAAGCGAAACGACCCCAUAGCUCAGCGAGGGAGCACGUAAGAAUGUCCCCCAAACACCCGACCCCAAUUUGGGGUGACCGGAGCAGCCUCUCAGCCCCGUCCCGGGACUCUGCACCAAACCCGACCUCGUGCGCUGGGACGGGGAGGGCGGGGGGAGCCUCACUUAAAAAAAAAAAUCAUUUAAUUAGUCCACAGAUGCGGCAAAGUUAAUCAAAUGAGACUUUAAGUCGCAAUGGGAGCUUUGGGUGGAGCGGUUACAGGCUGAACCUCAAGAAAGAACCCAGCAGCAGGUACAGAGGAGAAGGAAACGCUGGGUAACAUGAAAGAAAAGCAGCUGGCAAAAUCCUUCCAGUAGUUGGACACGAGCAUCUACUUUUCUGACACGAAACCUCUCUCUUUGCCAAGACUUUACUGCUCCAACAAUUCAUUCGAUAAUUUUUUUUCCUAUUCUCUCUCUCUUUUUUUUUUUUUUUUUGGUGGGGAAAUCUGUCCAAAAAUCUCAGUUUUUAGCCUUGUUCGGAAGCCUUUUUUCUUUCUUUCCCUCCCUCCCUAAUAAUCUUGUAAUUAUUUUUAGUUUAUACAUUUCGGGUUCUUCGGGAUUAUGUUUAAAUCUCUGAAAAAGUUACCAGUUAAAAGAAAUGAAUUGAGGAGUAAUACUGAUAAAAAUUCAAUGGAAAGGCGCAACAGAAAUACAUCCUUCUCUGCGUGUCCCCUUAAAAUACCGCGUAUUUUCCUACUCCAUCCGUUUGUUGGAAAACUUAAUUAAGAUCGGCUACCUUCCAUUAUUUACGUAAAGUCUCCCGGACGGAGGGUUUAAGAGGUUUCUUCUCCGCUUUCCAACAUAGUUAUUAGAAAUCCAUAAAGCAGGGGAGGGGCAGGAAAUUAAAUUUAAAGGUACCUCAUUACGGCGCAACUGCUUUCCUAUGGCAGCCGACGGAGAGAACACAUGGCGGCAUAAAAGGCUGAGUCCCCCCCCUCCCCAGCAAGUAGACUUGGCAAUCCUCUCGAAAUGACCUUUUAAUUUCAAGCCUAGCAAGGAUCCGUCCACACGGCGGGCUCUGAGAGUCGGCAGAGAGGGGGAAAAUGAAAAUAAAAUAGAAGAGAGGACACCGAUGCGAAUGGAA
rnacentral:lncRNA from 1 species